rnacentral:rRNA from 1 species
UACGUAGGGGGCAAGCGUUGUCCGGAAUCAUUGGGCGUAAAGAGCGUGUAGGCGGUCCGGUAAGUCGGCUGUGAAAGUCCAGGGCUCAACCCUGGGAUGCCGGUCGAUACUGCCGGACUAGAGUUCGGAAGAGGCGAGUGGAAUUCCCGGUGUAGCGGUGAAAUGCGCAGAUAUCGGGAGGAACACCUAUGGCGAAGGCAGCUCGCUGGGACGGUACUGACGCUGAGACGCGAAAGCGUGGGGAGCGAACAGG